CUUCAAAAUCCAUCAUCCAAACUAAAAAAUUUGCAUGUAUAUUUAUGAACCACCAAAUCAAAUACCUCUCUUCAAGAACGCAUCAAAACCCAAAACCCGUUUACCAGUUCCCACCAAUUUAGCUGAAACAGAUCCAGAACCCAUCUAAAAAGAAAGGGAAAGUUAAACAUACAUCAUGUCUGCUUAUGGGGUCACCCUUCCUCUCAUGCUGCUCUUCCUGCUUUUGGCUAAUAUCAUCAGUCACAGUGAAGCAAGUACAAGUGUAGCCCAAGCAAAUGGGUCUGCAACUACCAAUGAUAUGGUGCCAUUUAUGGAGCCUGAGAAGGUGGUGGAGAUGAGACUGAUGGCGAAUGAGAGCAGGAGGAGGUUGGGUAGCUUCCAGAUAUGUGCACUUUGUACUUGCUGCGGAGGUGCUAAGGGGCUUUGCUUGCCUUCUCCUUGUUGCUAUGCCAUCAAUUGCAACAUUCCCAACAGGCCCUUUGGUUUCUGUUCUUUCACUCCCAAGACCUGUAAUUG
rnacentral:misc_RNA from 1 species